UAGAGUUUGAUCCUGGCUCAGAACGAACGCUGGCGGCGUGGAUAAGACAUGCAAGUCGGACGGGACUAUUUCUAGUAGCAAUACCGGGAAUAGUUUAGUGGCGAACGGGUGCUUAACACGUGGGCAACCUGCCAGGAAGUGGGGGAUAGCUCGCCGAAAGGCGAAUUAAUACCGCAUGUGAUUAGAGAGGACAUCCUUUCGAAAUUAAAGUCGGGGCAACCUGACGCUUCUUGUGGGGCCCGCGGCCUAUCAGCUAGUUGGUGAGGUUACGGCUCACCAAGGCUUUGACGGGUAGCUGGUCUGAGAGGACGACCAGCCACACUGGGACUGAGACACGGCCCAGACACCUACGGGUGGCAGCAGUCGAGAAUUUUUGACAAUGGGGGAAACCCUGAUCGAGCGACGCCGCGUGGAGGAUGAAGGUCUUCGG
rnacentral:rRNA from 1 species